UGAACCAUGGAGCGAUAGAUAAUCUGAGGAGGAUCUGCUCGGAGUGUAUUCAUCAUUCACUUUAAAAUGAAGCUCAGCGACUGUUUCCUUGACAACAGCCCUGCGUGUACAGCUCUCCUCGUUCUGAGAGCCAAUGAGGCGACUGAUUCCAUAAUGUUCUUUUACUCUCCGGUCUCCUGAUCCUUUUAGCACCAAUCAAAAGGUCAGAGAGCUUGUGCGCCCCUUUUCCUGAUCUCUCCUACACAUAAAUCAGCUGAUGACAGUAAAACAAUGACAAAUGGAGUGUGUGGGUCUCAGUAAAGCCAUUUCAGCCGUGCUUGCGGAGAAGACUUGUGUUGUCAGGAGGCCCAUUCCACGAAGCAGUAAAUCAAGAAACCUAAACUGGAGUGCUGUACCCAAGAGAAGUGUCAUCUCAGAAAUGGCAGACGUUCCUCCUCAGACACCUGUGAACAGAGCAGUGCUUGGAGUCAAAUCCUGAAUCCUAAAUGAAGAGACAAACUGACCAACAGGAAGCUAUGGAUCUUUUGAAAGUGUAUUUUUCAAGCAUUUAAAAAUAUAGUUAACCCAGAUUUCUGUCAUCAUUUACAUUUUUGCAUCAAUCCACUCUCAUUUUUCUUUCAAACCCCUGACCUUUGUUUUUCCGCAGAAUUCAGAAGAAGAUACUUUGAAGAAUGCUGGUAAUCAAAACCAACAGGUUUGUCACAUGAAGACGACAUAAACGGAGUAAAAGAUAUUCAUAUUUGGGGAAAACUGUCUCUUUAGUAUGAUACACACUUUAAAUAUCAAACAUACUGGACACAGUCACUUAAUGUGCUAGAAUUAAAUGAGUAAAUAAUAAUAAGUAAAUAGUCUUUCAAACAACUUGCUUUAAAAAAAAAAAAAUUAAUUAUUUCCAAGACUUUGCCAUUAACCAGUGUGUUUUUCAAAAUACAUUAUACAUAUUUAAUGGUUUAACCUUUAUUUUAUCACAUGUUACAGUCCUAGUGUACAUAUAAAUGCCUCAUUUAUUCAAGUAGAUGCUUGGGUAAUUUUUCAAAAUGUAUUAAA